CAGUCGCCGCGGUAAUACGAAGGUCCCGAGCGUUGUUCGGAAUCACUGGGCGUAAAGGGAGCGUAGGCGGCGUGGUAAGUCAGAUGUGAAAUCCCGGGGCUCAACCCCGGAACUGCAUCCGAUACUGCCAUGCUAGAGGAUUGGAGAGGUAGCUGGAAUCCUUGGUGUAGCAGUGAAAUGCGUGGAGAUCAAGAGGAACACUCGUGGCGAAAGCGAGCUACUGGACAAUAACUGACGCUGAGGCUCGAAGGCCAGGGUAGCGAAAGGGAUUAGAUACCCCCGUAGUCCCUGUCUCUUAUAC
rnacentral:rRNA from 1 species